rnacentral:rRNA from 1 species
GACGUAGGGCGCGAGCGUUGUCCGGAUUUAUUGGGCGUAAAGAGCUCGUAGGCGGCUUGUCGCGUCGUCCGUGAAAACCCACAGCUCAACUGUGGGCUUGCGGUCGAUACGGGCAGGCUAGAGUUCGGUAGGGGAGACUGGAAUUCCUGGUGUAGCGGUGGAAUGCGCAGAUAUCAGGAGGAACACCGAUGGCGAAGGCAGUUCUCUGGGCCGUAACUGACGCUGAGGAGCGAAAGCGUGGGGAGCGAACAGG